AACAUACGGCUGAGUCCGCGUGCGGCAGUCGACUGACUCGUUUUUUAGGCUACGUGUUCGAUAUUUUUUCUUCGUUUCGUCGCCAGCCAGUUGUCCGACUCCUUGGUCACCGGUCAGUCCGGUAUGUC